UUUUUUUUUUUUAAACAUAUAAAGGCUUUUGGUGAAAGCUGUCUAACAGUCAUCUGGCAUCUAUACAUUUGGGCAUGUAAAAGUUGUUAGGAUUUAGAACAGCUUUCAGUGGAAUUGCAACAAGUGAAUCCAGCUCCUGGUUUUCUGCUAAAGUAGCUGGUCCACAUCAUCACUCAGUUCUUGUCCCUCUGCACAGCGCGGUGUGACACUUGUCAACAAGCAGGUGCCCUUCCUGUCCGUAGCAAGGGAGAUUCCAAAGACAAACCAGGGGUCUCUGGGCUUCUGUCUGGAAAGACGGUGAGUGUCUGCCUCGUGUUCAGGAAGAAGACACGUGCAGACCAGGCUGGUGGAACCUCGAGCUUCGGCGCUCAAUAGUGGGGACUGCUUCCUCCUGCUCUCUCCCCACUGCUGCUUCCUGUGGGUAGGAGAGUUCGCAAACGCCAUAGAAAAGGCGAAGGUUGGUACCUGAAAAAUAAAAACGCUUUA
rnacentral:lncRNA from 1 species